CUGGCAAAGAUCCCCUAAAGAACUUUUUUUUUUUUUUUGAAUUUGAAAGCGAGAACUCCUUUCGUCCAUCUAAAUGCCAAUAAGCUUCUUUUCUCCUAAGGUCGGGGCUGUUACUAUAAUUCCCCUUUAUCAAGACAUUGAGAUGUGAUCUGUAAUUGGUCAUGACAUAUCAAGAAUCUUAUGGCAGUAUCUUUGAAAAAUGAAAAGUAAGGGCAAAAUGAACAUUACACCAGUUGGUACAAAAAAUGGUGUAUACCCAAAUUUGGUGCAAUGAUGCAAUGGUUGGAGGAAGUUUGCACCAAAUUUUGGUGCAAUAGGGCAUGCAUUGGAGAUGCCUUAAGGUAUUUUUGUUAACUAUGUAUAUGAGUUGGGCCAUCUAUCUUAUGUAAGGUCAUUUGUAUAGUUAUACCAAAAGUUAUUUUUUCAAGACAUCUGCCAUUGGUAUUUCAAAAGAAAAGAUUGGAAAUGCUUCUUAUUUUCUCUUUUGCAUUAGAUUGCCGACACAUAAUCUCUCCUCUUAAGAUUCAAACCUAAUUUAGAAAAUUUGACUGAUUUACCUUUCGUUGAAUCUACCCAAGCAGAGCAGCAGGUCAUCCUGGACUUGAACACGAGAAAUCACUCGUGAAGUAAAUCAUUGCACCGGUCGUCCAACUAUUGGAAGAGAAUCAAUAGAUCUCUUUUUUUUUUUAGAGUAAUUCAUCCUUCCGAAAUACAGCAUACAACUCUCUGUUGUACCAUGUUCUCCAAGGGUGCUUGUUCCUCCUCUCUGCCGAGUCUGUAUGAAAUAAUUCCAAUAAGAAGAAAAAUUGAAGGCCUUAAUAGACCCUCGUAUCCCAACCCAAGAAACUCUAAAGAUCCUUUUUUCAAACGAGUAAAUUUAAUGGUUGCUCACCCAACUUUAGUGUAUAUUACUACUUGCUCAUUCAUCAACAAAAUAUAUCUC
rnacentral:lncRNA from 1 species